CAGUUUUUCAAUAUGAAUAAUAAAUAAAAUAAAAAGAGAAAGUUUGCACAAAGUUUUGCUUUGCUAAACAUAAAAGAACAAUAUACAAUAGUUGUAACUGAAAUGUAUCAAAUGAUACAAAUAAUUAUUGGUAAAGAAGUUUUAUCACAAACACUAAUCUACAAUUUAUUGUCAAAAUUCAAAAAAUGGCACUCUUCUGUGGAAGAUAUCAUAAUGAUGGAUCAUCAAAUGAAACAGGUGAAAAUAUUCAGACUGGAAGAUUUGAUUCAUCAAGAUAGACAACAAAUAAUUCAUAAUGGAUAUAAAAAACUGAACUUUUCUUACAAUACCUCCCAAUUAUUUUAUUACAUGAUUGAACUUACAAAGAAUUUAUAUUAGAUGAACAAAAGAAAAAUAGAUUGCAUGUUUGUCAUGAGCUUCAGGAAUAAGUACAAAAUGAUUCUGAUUUUGAUCUAAAGGAGAUAAUAGGCAAUAAAACGUUUGACAGACAUGAUUCCAAAAUAAAAACAGCAGUCUUCACAAUGGAAAUCUUUAUCUUGAUAGUGAAGGGAUUAUCCAUGUGAAUUCCCCUUAGAAAAACUGUCAGUCAAAAUUAUUACAAUACAGAUGUCUAUGACAUAUAUAUAGAAGAUCUAUUGAAAUUAUCUUGAGAAAUUGAAGACAAGGAGAUUGGAUUGCUGCAUCAUGAUGUGCCUAUACACACUGUACUUCCUGUCCAAAGAUUUCUAUGCAACAACAAUAUAGUAUAAUUCCUCAUCUAUUCAAUUCUAUAAGCUUCACUCUCUGCAAUUACUUUCUCUCUCCAAAAAUGAAAUUGAAGUUGAAAGGGAAAAAUUCAUGAUUUUGUUAUUGAAUUUUUGAGUUCAAUGACAAUCAUGAAGUUUUUAUGGACAUUAUGAAAGAAGACUUCCAGGCAUGCUUUUAAUAGUGUUAGGAUCUUUGGGCUCAGUGUAUAAAUACAAGGAAAUAUAUUGAAGACAUAUGAUAUAUUUGAUAAGCAAAUAAAUGCUUUGUCAAGUCAUCAUGUAUUUCUGUUCAGGAACCAUUUGAAUAUUAUAUGAGAUGAAGAC
rnacentral:lncRNA from 1 species